rnacentral:rRNA from 1 species
UACGAAGGGUGCAAGCGUUAAUCGGAAUUACUGGGCGUAAAGCGCGCGUAGGUGGUUCAGCAAGUUGGAUGUGAAAUCCCCGGGCUCAACCUGGGAACUGCAUUCGAAACUGGCAGGCUAGAGUCUUGUAGAGGGGGGUAGAAUUCCAGGUGUAGCGGUGAAAUGCGUAGAUAUAGGAAGGAACACCAGUGGCGAAGGCGACCACCUGGACUGAUACUGACACUGAGGUGCGAAAGCGUGGGGAGCAAACAGGAUUAGAUACCCCCGUAGUCC